UACGGGGGGGGCAAGCGUUGUUCGGAAUUACUGGGCGUAAAGGGCUCGUAGGUGGCCAACUAAGCCAGACGUGAAAUCCCUCGGCUUAACCGGGGAACUGCGUCUGAUACUGGAUGGCCUGAGUUUGGGAGAGGGACGCGGAAUUCCAGGUGUAGCGGUGAAAUGCGUAGAUAUCUGGAGGAACACCGGUGGCGAAGGCGGCGUCCUGGACCAACACUGACACUGAGGAGCGAAAGCCAGGGGAGCAAACGGG
rnacentral:rRNA from 1 species